rnacentral:rRNA from 1 species
ACGAAGGGUGCGAGCGUUAAUCGGAAUUACUGGGCGUAAAGAGCACGUAGGUGGUUUAGUAAGCGGAAUGUGAAAGCCCAGGGCUCAACCUUGGAACUGCAUUCCGAACUGCUAGGCUAGAGUAUAGUAGAGGUAAGCGGAAUUUCCUGUGUAGCGGUGAAAUGCGUAGAUAUAGGAAGGAACAUCAGUUGCGAAGGCGGCUUACUGGACUAAUACUGACACUGAGGUGCGAAAGCGUGGGUAGCGAACAGG